CCUACGGGUGGCAGCAGUGGGGAAUAUUGCACAAUGGGGGAAACCCUGAUGCAGCAACGCCGCGUGAGUGAGGAAGUAUUUCGGUAUGUAAAGCUCUAUCAGCAGGGAAGAGAAAAGAUGUUACUUGAAAAAUAAGCCUCGGCUAACUCCGUGCAAGCAGCCGCGGUAAACUGUAGGGGAGCAGCGUUAGUCGGAUGGACUGGGUGGAAAGGGUGCGUAGAGGGAAAGGUAAGUCAGAAGUGAAAGCCCAUGGCUCAACCUUGGGAAUGCUAUUGAAACCGUAAUACUAGAGUACGGGGGAGGAUAGCGGAAUUCCUAGUGUAGCGGUGAAAUGCGUAGAUAUUAGGAGGAAAACCAGUGGCGAAGGCGACUAUCUGGAGCGAAACUGACGUUGAGGCUCGAAAGCGUGGGGAGCAAACAGGAUUAGAUACCCCGGUAGUC
rnacentral:rRNA from 1 species